UACGGAGGAUGCAAGCGUUAUCCGGAAUUAUUGGGCGUAAAGCGUGCGCAGGCGGUCCUUUAAGUCUGUCGUGAAAGACCGGGGCUUAACCCUGGAAAGGCGAUGGAAACUGAAAGGCUAGAGAGAGGUAGGGGUAGAGGGAAUUCCCAGUGUAGCGGUGAAAUGCGUAGAGAUUGGGAAGAACAUCGGUGGCGAAAGCGAUCUACUGGACCGCAACUGACACUCAGGGACGAAAGCUAGGGGAGCGAAUGGG
rnacentral:rRNA from 1 species